rnacentral:rRNA from 1 species
GGCGGCGUGCUUAACACAUGCAAGUCGAACGGAAAGAUCUCCUAAGAAAUUCUUAGAGAUACUCGAGUGGCGAACGGGUGAGUAACACGUGGGUAAUCUGCCCUGCACUUCAGGGAUAAGCCUGGGAAACCGGGUCUAAUACCGAAUAGGACCUUAAGGCGCAUGCCUUGUGGUGGAAAGCUUUUGCGGUGUGGGAUGGGCCCGCGGCCUAUCAGCUUGUUGGUGGGGUGACGGCCUACCAAGGCGACGACGGGUAGCCGGCCUGAGAGGGUGUCCGGCCACACUGGGACUGAGAUACGGCCCAGACUCCUACGGGAGGCAGCAGUGGGGAAUAUUGCACAAUGGGCGCAAGCCUGAUGCAGCGACGCCGCGUGAGGGAUGACGGCCUUCGGGUUGUAAACCUCUUUCACCAUCGACGAAGGUCCGGGUUUUCUCGGGUUGACGGUAGGUGGAGAAGAAGCACCGGCCAACUACGUGCCAGCAGCCGCGGUAAUACGUAGGGUGCGAGCGUUGUCCGGAAUUACUGGGCGUAAAGAGCUCGUAGGUGGUUUGUCGC